AACUCUUCCCCACGUGGCGGAGCAACGGCUCGGCCGCCGCUUCGCCCGCCUGCACGUAGAAGAGAACCAAAUUCCUCUGACAGCAACACUAGGACCGCGGCUCGAGCCGUUACACACCUGUUGCGCGAGAACUUCUGUCCAAACCAGCUGCUCCGGAGUGAGGCUUCACCCAUGUUGAGGAGAGAAAAAAUGAAGUCACUCAACAUCCCAUUCUGAUACUAGAACUCUGGUACCUGCCGUUUAUAGACUCUUACCUACCUAGCAGUUUUCUCCUGGAAUAGGCAAACGAGGCUUAGGGAACACUGCAAACAGCUGAGAUAAUCUAGGAACAGUCGUUGAAGGAUAUGUUUUCACAUGAGGAAAAUAUAUUUUUUAGUUUCAUGUACUUGAGAGAAAUAAAGCCAAUAAACCCAUAGACAGUGCUGAUGCUCAAACACUUUCUCUACCAAAAAGGUGCAAGAUGUAGGAGGAAUGAGAGAAGCACUUGCAAGAAUUUUCUUCAACCUUUAGCUGAAUGGCAUCGAUAGCAAUCGUUCACCAUUUGGUCUGUUCCUGUAUGGCUGCCAGGGCUUGACAGAUCAAAAGUGCAUGGUCAGUACAGCUUUGAUUACAAGAAUACUCAUGACAAAAAGUCAUGAACAGCCUUUAAGAAAGUAAUGAACCUGACUUGAGCAGGUAACCAGACACACUGUGGAAGUGACAGCUAGAAUGCUGAUUAAAAGGGGUCUAAAAUUUAAGUACGCCCUCUGUUUGAAAAGUAACAUGGAAAAUUAAAAUCUCCCAUUAAGGAAAUUCACUCCACAAAGCCAGCAGGAAGAGCCUGGUCGUGUGUGUGAAUCACUCAGGUUAAACAUUUAAUGUACACCCACCUAGACAAAUAUUUCCUCCUUUCUCUUACUCCAUACCUAAUACUUCCCCUUCCCACCCCCUAAAUGGAUAAACAGAUUGAGGACAGAAGAUAUCCUGGGGAUAAUUUGCAGUUAACAAAACUACAAGAGUGCUCCAGUUCUUAAGAUUGUCACAUCCAGAACAAGGAUUACUGGGCCACAGACUGAAAUUUGGUUGCUGGCUGAAGGUUGUUAAAACCCUGCUUACUGGAAACCCCCCUUUUCUUUCAGGAAAUCAGAGUCCACAUAACGAAGUUCCAAGAAAGCUCUCUCCAUCUUUCUAAAUAAAAUUUUCUUCUUUCAAAUACCCAAA